rnacentral:rRNA from 1 species
GAUGAACGCUGGCGGCGUGCUUAACACAUGCAAGUCGAACGAUUAAAGCCCCUUCGGGGGUGUAUAAAGUGGCGAACGGGUGAGUAACACGUGACCAACCUGCCUUUCACUUUGGGAUAACUUGGAGAAAUUCAAGCUAAUACCGAAUACUCCCGCACCUUUGCAUGAAGGUGCGGGGAAAGUUCCGGCGGUGAAAGAUGGGGUCGCGGUCUAUUAGCUAGUUGGUGAGGUAACGGCUCACCAAGGCGAUGAUAGAUAGCCGGGUUGAGAGACCGACCGGCCACAUUGGGACUGAGACACGGCCCAAACUCCUACGGGAGGCAGCAGUGGGGAAUUUUGGACAAUGGGGGCAACCCUGAUCCAGCCAUUCCGCGUGAGUGAAGAAGGCCUUCGGGUUGUAAAGCUCUUUCGCAAGGGAAGAAAACUCAAUCUCUAAUAUAGGUUGAGGCUGACGGUACCUUGAUAAGAAGCACCGGCUAACUACGUGCCAGCAGCCGCAGUAA